AUCAUUGCACAAUUUUGGUAAACCUUUAGGAAGAAAAUUUGAUUUCAUCUACAGAUCCUCUUCUAGUGUUCCACUGAUUAUAUUACUAUAGGAAAUAUAUGUUCUUUGCCCUUUUCAUUUUAGAAAUUCUUGUUUUUGUCAUUAUUCACUCAACAAACAUUUCUCGAGAAUCAGGCAAACAUAAAUUAAAAAUGGUUGACAUGUUAGAAACACAAACAGGUGCUGAAUGAGCAGAGAGGACAGAUAUCUGAUCCAUGCUGGCUAAGUGUGUGAGCAGGGGCUUGCUGUGAGAUGUGCCAUGUGCCCGGAAAUGGAGGGCUUCGGGCCGGAGUAAGAAGUGACUGAUGGGAUGGAGGGGUAGGGAAUGAUGUUCCAGGAAGAAGCAGCAGCAGUCAGAAAGGCAAGGGUGGUGGAAAAGAACCAUGUGUUUGGCAGCUUCAUGGCAAUGGGGCAGAGGCUGUUGGGAGCUCGCAUGUUGACAGAUGGUCAAGACUUUGUAAUCCAUGAGCAAAGCUGGACCUUCUUCUGAGAAUAAAGGGCUAUCUUUAAAAAGUUUAAGAAAGUUACUAACAUGAGGAAGUGAUCCUUUUGGGGUUGAUAGGUGUGAUGAUUGGGUUUCUAUGCAUGUGUGUGACAUGUGUCUCCCUCAAAGCUUGUUACCACAUCCGUACAGCACCCAUAGGAUGUUGGGGGGGUGGGUGGGGAAGGAAAAACAAGAAGAAAAGGAAAAAGAGAACAUGAGUAGAUGUGUGUUUUCGAAAGUCAACUCUGGCAAGUAUGUAGAAGUUGGAGGAGGCAGGCCUAGAAACCUAUCACAAGGUUAUUGCCAUAAUUGGAACAAAAAAAUGUGAGUGUGAGCGAAGGCAAUGGUGAGAAUAGAAGAAACAGGGAUGGGUUGGAAAGAGCAACAAGCCUACAAAUAUGUUUUGUAAGUUUAGCAUCUGUAAGAACCUGAAAAUGGAUGAAGCUUAAAACUUGAGAUGAGAGUUAGACAUAGAUAUGAAUUCCAGAAAAAUC
rnacentral:lncRNA from 10 species